UACGAAGGGUGCAAGCGUUACUCGGAAUUACUGGGCGUAAAGCGUGCGUAGGUGGUUCGUUAAGUCUGAUGUGAAAGCCCUGGGCUCAACCUGGGAAUUGCAUUGGAUACUGGCGGGCUAGAGUACGGUAGAGGGUGGCGGAAUUCCUGGUGUAGCAGUGAAAUGCGUAGAUAUCAGGAGGAACAUCCGUGGCGAAGGCGGCCGCCUGGACCAGUACUGACACUGAGGCACGAAAGCGUGGGGAGCAAACAGGAUUAGAUACC
rnacentral:rRNA from 1 species